rnacentral:rRNA from 1 species
GAUGAACGCUGGCGGCGUGCUUAACACAUGCAAGUCGAACGAUGAAGCCCAGCCUGCUGGGCGGAUUAGUGGCGAACGGGUGAGUAACACGUGAGUAACCUGCCCUUGACUCUGGGAUAAGCCCGGGAAACUGGGUCUAAUACCGGAUAGGAGCGCCUGUCGCAUGACGGGUGCUGGAAAGAUUUUUCGGUCAUGGAUGGACUCGCGGCCUAUCAGCUUGUUGGUGAGGUAACGGCUCACCAAGGCGACGACGGGUAGCCGGCCUGAGAGGGUGACCGGCCACACUGGGACUGAGACACGGCCCAGACUCCUACGGGAGGCAGCAGUGGGGAAUAUUGCACAAUGGGCGGAAGCCUGAUGCAGCGACGCCGCGUGAGGGAUGACGGCCUUCGGGUUGUAAACCUCUUCAGUAGGGAAGAAAGCGAAAAGGACGGACCUGCAGA